AGAUGGCUUAAUUUAGAUUGAUUGGUUAACGGAGCUAUAUCCAAUUAUUGAUCCAAAAUGGGAUGGAUUGGGAACAUUGAGUGCCUCUGAAGGGUUAGUUUAGGUCAUGAAUGAGUCAAUCUGCCCUUCUUGUUAAAACAUCAAGUUGAAGACCGAAGACAAAGCUGGGUUGUCCUCGCAAGUAUAACCUUUCAGAUAACGAAUGAUGAUAUAAUUGGGUUAAAACUGUCU
rnacentral:misc_RNA from 1 species